rnacentral:rRNA from 1 species
AGGUGAACCUGCGGAAGGAUCAUUACCGAGUGAGGGCCCUUUGGGUCCAACCUCCCACCCGUGUUUAUUUACCUCGUUGCUUCGGCGGGCCCGCCUUAACUGGCCGCCGGGGGGCUCACGCCCCCGGGCCCGCGCCCGCCGAAGACACCCCCGAACUCUGCCUGAAGAUUGUCGUCUGAGUGAAAAUAUAAAUUAUUUAAAACUUUCAACAACGGAUCUCUUGGUUCCGGCAUCGAUGAAGAACGCAGCGAAAUGCGAUACGUAAUGUGAAUUGCAAAUUCAGUGAAUCAUCGAGUCUUUGAACGCACAUUGCGCCCCCUGGUAUUCCGGGGGGCAUGCCUGUCCGAGCGUCAUUGCUGCCCUCAAGCCCGGCUUGUGUGUUGGGCCCCGUCCUCCGAUUCCGGGGGACGGGCCCGAAAGGCAGCGGCGGCACCGCGUCCGGUCCUCGAGCGUAUGGGGCUUUGUCACCCGCUCUGUAGGCCCGGCCGGCGCUUGCCGAUCAACCCAAAUUUUUAUCCAGGUUGACCUCGGAUCAGGUAGGGAUACCC